rnacentral:rRNA from 1 species
UACAGAGGUCUCAAGCGUUGUUCGGAUUCAUUGGGCGUAAAGGGUGCGUAGGCGGCUCGGUAAGUCGGGUGUGAAAUUUCGAGGCUCAACCUCGAAACGCCACCCGAUACUGCUGUGGCUAGAGUCCGGUAGGGGAGCGUGGAAUUCCUGGUGUAGCGGUGAAAUGCGCAGAUAUCAGGAGGAACACCAGCGGCGAAGGCGGCGCUCUGGGCCGGUACUGACGCUGAGGAGCGAAAGCGUGGGGAUCAAACAGG